rnacentral:rRNA from 1 species
UACGAGAGGCCCAAACGUUAUUCGGAAUUACUGGGCUUAAAGAGUUCGUAGGCGGCAUUGCAAGUAGGGUGUGAAAGCCCUCGGCUCAACCGAGGAAUUGCGCUCUAAACUGCAGUGCUUGAGGAACCUAGAGGUGAGCAGAACAGAUGGUGGAGCGGUGAAAUGCGUAGAUAUCUGGAGGAAUACCGGUGGCGAAGGCGGCAUCCUGGACCGGCAUUGACGCUGAUACAGCGAAAGCUAGGGGAGCAAACGGG